AGGGCACCACCAGGAGUGGAGCCUGCGGCUUAAUUUGACUCAACACGGGGAAACUUACCCGGCCUGGACACUGGAAGGAUUGACAGAUUGAGAGCUCUUUCUUGAUUCAGCGGGUGGUGGUGCAUGGCCGUUCUUAGUUGGUGGAGCGAUUUGUCUGGUUAAUUCCGAUAACGAACGAGACUCUAGCCUAUUAAAUAGGCUCUCGGCUUUUAAACGCCGGGAGGACUUCUUAGAGGGACAGGUGGCGGUUCAGCCGCACGAAAGAGAGCAAUAACAGGUCUGUGAUGCCCUUUGUUGUCCGGGGCCGCACGCGCGCUACACUGAAGAGAUCAGCGUGCUUUACGUUCCUGCUCCGACCGGAGUGGGGAACCCAGUGAACCUUCUUCGUGAUUGGGAUAGAAGAUUGUAAUUAUUCUUCUUGAACGAGGAAUUCCCAGUAAAUGCGAGUCAUAAGCUCGCGUUGAUUACGUCCCUGCCCUUUGUACACACCGCCCGUCGCUACUACCGAUUGAACGAUUU
rnacentral:rRNA from 1 species